GACGAACGCUGGCGGCGUGCCUAAUACAUGCAAGUAGAACGCACAGUUUAUACCGUAGCUUGCUACACCAUAGACUGUGAGUUGCGAACGGGUGAGUAACGCGUAGGUAACCUGCCUGGUAGCGGGGGAUAACUCUUGGAAACGAUAGCUAAUACCGCAUAAUAUUAAUUAUUGCAUGAUAAUUAAUUGAAAGGUGCAAUUGCACCACUACCAGCUGGACCUGCGUUGUAUUAGCUAGUAGGGGAGGUAACGGCUCACCUAGGCGACGGUACAUAGCCGACCUGGGAGGGUGGUCGGCCACCCUGGGACUGAGACACGGGCCAGACUCCUACGGGAGGCAGCAGGAGGGAAUCUUCGGGAAUGGACGAAAGUCCGACCGAGCCACGCCGCGUGAGGGAAGAAGGUUUUCGGAUCGUAAAGCUCUGUUGUAAGGGAAGAACGGGUGUGGGAGUGGAAAGUUCGCACUGUGACGGUACCUUACCAGAAAGGGACGGCUAACUACGUG
rnacentral:rRNA from 1 species